rnacentral:lncRNA from 1 species
GCCUCACGAGCCCCCAGGGUCAGCCCUCGGAUGUCCUGGACCCGCCUCCAACCUGCUUUCACCUUGUCCUGCUCAGUCUGGAAAUUGCCAAAUCUUCGGCUUCUCAAAGCCGGUCUCAGUGGCUGUCGAUUUUUGGACACUGAGGAACUUUUCUCAAAGUAGCUGAACCAGAUUCCUGAAUUUUAGCUAUCUUUGUAUGACCGGAGCACCAUGCACAGUUCCAUCUCCAGAGAAUUCCCUAAGUGACAACUGGCCAAAAGAUGAGACUAUCUGGAGGGCAAGGCUUCCUUUGCACACCCC